CUUUAUACCCGUGGUGAUUUGGCCGGUCGGCUUGCAGCCACGUUAAACAACUAGCUAAAAGGCCGGGUGAACCGGUCC
rnacentral:ncRNA from 2 species